AUUGAACGCUGGCGGCAGGCCUAACACAUGCAAGUCGAACGAGUGGCGGACGGGUGAGUAAUGUCUGGGAAACUGCCUGAUGGAGGGGGAUAACUACUGGAAACGGUAGCUAAUACCGCAUACCAUCGGAUGUGCCCAGAUGGGAUUAGCUAGUAGGUGGGGUAACGGCUACCCUAGGCGACGAUCCCUAGCUGGUCUGAGCGGAUGACCAGCCACACGGGAACUGAGACACGGGCCAGACUCCUACGGGAGGCAGCAGUGGGGAAUAUUGCACAAUGGGCGCAAGCCGGAUGCAGCCAUGCCGCGUGUAUGAAGAAGGCCUUCGGGUUGUAAAGUACGUUCAGCGGGGAGGCGUUACCCGCAGAAGAAGCACCGGCUAACUCCGUGCCAGCAGCCGCGGUAAUUC
rnacentral:rRNA from 1 species